rnacentral:lncRNA from 1 species
GGGGGUAUGGAUCUUUUCUGGAAUGACCCAAUAUACUAUAUUUAAUAGACAUACUUUAUUGAUUUUAUAUCAAUUUCAUCAAAGGCUCUUAAUUUAUGUAAAAAUAUUAUAUUUUAUAUUAAGUACUAUUUAAAGCACGCGUAGGAGUGUUUUAUCACAUAUAAAACACGACGCGUAGCGGAGUGUUUUAUAUGUGAUAAAACACGACUACAAGUGCUUUAAAUGGCUUAAAAAACGACUCCUCUUAUACGAGUUCAUUGGUGCAGUAAUUUUUAAAAUAAACUUUGUCUAAACCGGGAAAAUCAAAGCUAAAGUUUAUGUAAAUUAACAUGAUUUUAUAUCACGUAUAAAACCACGACACGCUUAUGAUUUUUCUUUGUGUUUUGCUCCUGAAUUAUUAAUGAGUUUUUUAAAUGUAUUUAAUAAUGACAUAUUGUAUUUUAAGUAAUGUUUACAACAUGAGCGGCCGUGUUGUAUCAGAUAUACAAACUCGAGCCGAAGGCGAGAGUUUGUAUAUCUGAUACAACACGGACGCGAAAAAAACGACUCAUCUUAUGAGUUCAUUGGCGAAGUAAUUUUAAAAAUAAACGUUGUCUAAGCCGAGAAAAUCAAAGUUAAAGUUUAUGUAAAUCAACAUGAAUCUGUAUCACAUAUACAGAUACGACACGCUUAUGAUUUUUCUUUGUGUUUUCUUCAUGAAUUAUUAAUGAGUUUUUUAAUACUAUUUAAUAAUGACAAAGUGAUAUAAUAGCUGGAAAUGUUAGUUCUUCCACCUUGUUUUGCCAAAUUUCAUGCAAUAUAUAGCUCAAUUUAUAGGCUAUCAAUGUUUUUUUACAGUUGACAAAUUAUAUUGUUAAUAGUAUUACUGCAACUUUGCUACACUGGUGAUGAGCCUCCUAAUUUUAUGCUGUAUACAUACAUUCAGUAUUAAGAGUGAAUGUCAGUAAAAAUCGAACAUAUGAGACACUGCGCGGCCACGACUGAAAAAUCGAUUUUGCUCAAAUUUUGCCCAGAUAUACCUUAUUAUAUCGGAAAAUGCACCAUAUUUUUUUAGGUCAAAUGC